rnacentral:rRNA from 1 species
AAACUAACAGAUUUACUUCGGUAAUGACGUUAGGAAAGCGAGCGGCGGAUGGGUGAGUAACACGUGGGGAACCUGCCCCAUAGUCUGGGAUACCACUUGGAAACAGGCGCUAAUACCGGAUAAGAAAGCAGAUCGCAUGAUCAGCUUUUAAAAGGCGGCGUAAGCUGUCGCUAUGGGAUGGCCCCAGCGGUGCAUUAGCUAGUUGGUAAGGUAAAGGCUUACCAAGGCGAUGAUGCAUAGCCGAGUUGAGAGACUGAUCGGCCACAUUGGGACUGAGACACGGCCCAAACUCCUACGGGAGGCAGCAGUAGGGAAUCUUCCACAAUGGACGCAAGUCUGAUGGAGCAACGCCGCGUGAGUGAAGAAGGUUUUCGGAUCGUAAAGCUCUGUUGUUGGUGAA